rnacentral:lncRNA from 1 species
GGGGACUAAACUGCAAUUUUCACAAAUUGAGGGACCAAAUUGAAUUUUCGUCAUCUUCAACCUCAAACCCAGAAUUUCAACAGAUCACCUACUGUUAGUUCCAGAUUUAUACCUCAACUUCAUCAUUCAAUUCAACCAUAACUCAAAAUCAUCAUAUUUCUCUAUAAUCUCUCCAAUUCAACUAAAUAAUCAAAUACCCACAUCAAUCAACCCCUUAAUUCAAACUAAUUCAUCAAUAAACUCAAAAUUCAAAACUCUAAAAUUAAUCAAAAACCGAAAUUUAAAGCUAAAGAAAACAUAUUAUACAUAUUCAAGCAUAAUUCUUA